UGCGUCCUGCGGAGACAGACAAGUCCACGUGGCAUGCAGGCAGCAGCAGGUCUGUUGCUUAAUGUUUAACUUGGCCUUCAAGUCCUAGCUGCUAGAACGUGUAUCUCAGAGGGUGACUCCAUGUUCUUCUGCUUUCAACAUGGCCGGAAAGGUCCACGAGACCUUCCUGGAUGGAAGAGCUGGGGAUUGGCGAGUUCACAGGACGGACAUCAAAAAUGGGUUUCAGUGGCUAAAAACUAAGGUGCGGGCAGGCCACCCUCUCCCUGGAGGCAUGAGUGCUGAACACCGCCUUGGGUGCGCAACACACGUGAGACGACUGAAUGACUGUCAGAUGCUGGAGUCAGACGCCGCUGAGGGCCACUGUUUCUGCAGCUGGUCCAAGCCCUCAGCCCGUCACGACCUUUACAGCUCAGAGAGCCGCUUAAAGAACACACGCCUGUAAUCCAGACAUAUCCAGGGUGAUGGCAGUGCAGAAGAUCAGAGUUACUAUAUUCCAGACAUGGCACUGGCUUUUGGGAACAGCAUUUCAUUUCUGACCUGACCUUGGACUCCCCGGGUGCAGAGUCCGC